rnacentral:rRNA from 1 species
GAUGAACGCUAGCUACAGGCUUAACACAUGCAAGUCGAGGGACCGGCGCACGGGUGCGUAACACGUAUCCAACCUUCCCUUUCCUCUGGGAUAGCCUUUCGAAAGAAAUAUUAAUACCCGAUGUACAGGAUGGGGAUGCGUUCCAUUAGGUUGUUGGUGAUGGAACGGCGAACCAAUCCUUCGAUGGAUAGGGGUUCUGAUAGGAAGGUCACCCACAUGGGAAGUGAGACACGGUACAAACGCGUACGGGAGGAAGAAGUGAGGAAUAGUAGUGAAGGGGCGUUAGCCUGAACCAGCCAAGUAGCGUGAAGGAUGAAGGCUUAUGGGUAGUAAACUUCUUUUAUAUAAGAAUAUGUAUUAUAUGAAUAAGGAUCGGCUAACUCCGUGCCAGCAGCCGCGGUAAUAC